AACAGAAAGACACCUAGCGCGCUGAUGACAUCACGCGUGGUGGGUCGCGCGC
rnacentral:sRNA from 1 species